rnacentral:rRNA from 1 species
AGUGAACGCUGGCGGUAGGCCUAACACAUGCAAGUCGAACGGCAGCACAGUAAGAGCUUGCUCUUACGGGUGGCGAGUGGCGGACGGGUGAGGAAUACAUCGGAAUCUACUUUUUCGUGGGGGAUAACGUAGGGAAACUUACGCUAAUACCGCAUACGACCUACGGGUGAAAGCAGGGGAUCUUCGGACCUUGCGCGAUUGAAUGAGCCGAUGUCGGAUUAGCUAGUUGGCGGGGUAAAGGCCCACCAAGGCGACGAUCCGUAGCUGGUCUGAGAGGAUGAGCAGCCACACUGGAACUGAGACACGGUCCAGACUCCUACGGGAGGCAGCAGUGGGGAAUAUUGGACAAUGGGCGCAAGCCUGAUCCAGCCAUACCGCGUGGGUGUAGAAGGCCUUCGGGUUGUAAAGCCCUUUUGUUGGGAAAGAAAAGCAGCAGGUUAAUACCCCGCUGUUCUGACGGUACCCAAAGAAUAAGCACCGGCUAACUUCGUG